AUUGAACGCUGGCGGCAUGCCUUACACAUGCCAGUCGAACGGUAACGGGCCUUCGGGUGCCGACGAGUGGCGAACGGGUGAGUAAUACAUCGGAACGUGCCCGAUCGUGGGGGAUAACGAGGCGAAAGCUUUGCUAAUACCGCAUACGAUCUACGGAUGAAAGCAGGGGACCGCAAGGCCUUGCGCGGACGGAGCGGCCGAUGGCAGAUUAGGUAGUUGGUGGGAUAAAGGCUUACCAAGCCGACGAUCUGUAGCUGGUCUGAGAGGAUGAUCAGCCACACUGGGACUGAGACACGGCCCAGACUCCUACGGGAGGCAGCAGUGGGGAAUUUUGGACAAUGGGCGCAAGCCUGAUCCAGCCAUGCCGCGUGCAGGAUGAAGGCCUUCGGGUUGUAAACUGCUUUUGUACGGAACGAAAAGCCUUCUUUUAAUACAGGAGGGUCAUGACGGUACCGUAAGAAUAAGCACCGGCUAACUACGUG
rnacentral:rRNA from 1 species